rnacentral:lncRNA from 1 species
GGGUCUUUCUAGUAACAAGCAUACUUAGCUUACAAAAUAAUUAUUAGGUAAUUAUUGUAUUAACUAAUUGUAUACCUGAUUGUAAACAUUGGUAUUAAUAAUUAGCUUUUAAUUUGCUGUUUCUCAUUUUGGAUCACAGUGCUAUUAAAUCAUAGAGCCAAUUUUUUAUCAGAUAUUUUUCAGGGAAAAAAAAUUUCAAACAUUGUGCUUCAAUGAGACUUCAAAAGGAUGAUGCUAAGAUUUUGAUAAAAAUCACAUAACUAAAAAUUUUAGUGACCUUAGGUUUGGCAAAGCUUUUUCCUGUUGUAAAAUCUAGGAUACACACAGGAAGCAAGGAUUUUUAAAAUAUAACACACAAAACAUGAACUAAUUUAAAAAAUCAGUAAGUUGUACUUCAUCAAAAUUUAAAACUUUUGCUCUUCAAAAAACAUAUAGAAUAUGUAAAGAAUCCUUAUAGCUUAAUAAUAAACAACUAAACUUUUAGAUCAGCAAAAGAUUUUAACAAACACUGCCAAAAGAGAUAAGAGGAUGGCAGGUAAGCACAUGAAAAGAUACUCAGCAUUAGUAGUCACGAGAGAAAUGCAAAUUAACAGCAUAAUGAGAUAGUACUAUACACCUAUUAAAAUGGUUAAAAUUAGGCUAGGCUGGGUGGCUCAUGCCUGUAAUCCCAACACUUUGGGAGGUCAAGGUGGGUGGAUCACAAGGUCAAGAGAUUGAGACCAUCCUGGUCAACAUGGUGAAACCCCGUCUCUACUAAAAAUACAAAAAAUUAGCUGGGCAUGGUGGCGUGUGCCUGUAAUCCCAGCUACUCGGGAGGCUGAGGCAGGAGAAUUGCCUGAACCCAGGAGGUGAAGGUUGCAGUGAGCCGAGAUUGCACCAUUGCACUCCAGCCUGGGCAACAAGAGCGAAACUCCGUCUCAAAAAAAAAAAAUGAAAAGGGUUUCAGUUGACAGUCUCAGGAAUUACAUAUGAAAAGGGCUUGUGUUUGCAGUCUCAGGAAUUACAUAUGAAAAGGGCUUCAGUUUACAGUCUUAGGAAGGAAAAGGGGAAGUUGAUCUGAGAUGCCUGGGUCUCCCUCUUCACCCCCACCUUUGAGACCCUCACCACUUUAUAUUAUUAGUGAAUUAGUGAGAGGUCUCACUUUCAUUCUCACU